rnacentral:lncRNA from 1 species
GUUUUUUUCCUGGAGGCACUUUACAAAACCAGGACUGAGCCAACAGCCACACGUGUGUGAGCCGGCCGUCGGAAGAGUCUCUCCCAGGAACGCUAAUUGGUCCCUUUGGGGAUGAAAUUGGCCUCCUUCGCCCGUACAGCGCGGCAAGUUCAUCAGAGGCCGGGAAAUGAUUUUCUCACCCAGAUGCUCCUGCUGGCCUCCAGGUGGCGAUGCUGCUUUGUCAACCUCCAGAGAGCCUGGAGCUGGCCCAGGCGAGUCUGAAAUUGAGCUACCUAAACCAGCGGCAUCCUCCUAUUUCCCGAAAAGAAGAUAUUUUUUUCAACCUGGAUUUGAAGUCACUAGUGGUGCGGCAGGU